AGAGUUUGAUCCUGGCUCAGCGAUGAACGCUGGCGGUAUGCUUAACACAUGCAAGUCGAACGGGAUCUUCGGAUCUAGAGGCGGACGGGUGAGUAACGCGUAAGAAUCUGCCUUUAGGACGGGGACAACAGCUGGAAACGGCUGCUAAAACCCGAUGUGCCCUUCGGGGUGAAAUAUUUAUAGCCUGAAGAUGAGCUCGCGUCUGAUUAGCUAGUAGGUAAGGUAACGGCUUACCUAGGCGACGAUCAGUAACUGGUGUGAGAGCACGACCAGUCACACGGGCACUGAGACACGGGCCCGACUCCUACGGGAGGCAGCAGUAAGGAAUAUUGGUCAAUGGACGCAAGUCUGAACCAGCCAUGCCGCGUGGAGGAUGAAGGUCCUCUGGAUUGUAAACUUCUUUUAUUUGGGAAGAAACCCACGAUUUCUAUUGUGGUUGACGGUACCAGAUGAAUAAGCACCGGCUAACUCCGUGCCGGCAGCCGCGGUAAUACGGAGGGUGCAAGCGUUAUCCGGAUUCACUGGGUUUAAAGGGUGCGUAGGCGGGCAGGCAAGUCAGUGGUGAAAUCUCCGGGCUUAACCCGGAAACUGCGUUGAUACUAUCUGUCUUGAUAUAGUGGAGUGGAGCGGAUAUGUCAUGUAGCGGUGAAAUGCUUAGAUUAUGACAUAAAAACACCCAUCGCGAAGGCAGCCCCGCUACACCUUUUUAUUGACGCUGAGCACGAAAGGGGUGGGGGAUCAAACAGAAUAAG
rnacentral:rRNA from 1 species